AGAGCAGGUCGGGCGGUCGCCGUUGCGUCGUAAGAUGCGAGGGAGGAAAGUCCGAACACUAUAGGGCAGCGAGCCAGUUAACGGCUGGGCGCGGGCUUGCAGAGUGCGACUCAUUUGGGUCGCCCUCCGGGUUCGUGACGACAAGUGCAACAGAGAAGAGACCAGCCAGCGGGCCGCGUGCGGCUGCUCCGCGAGGAGCGGCGCAUGAAAGGCAGCGGGUGAUGGGUGAAACGGUGCGGCCCCAGUGGGGCUUAAUGUAAGAGCGCACCAGCGCGUUUGGUAACAGGCGCGGCUAGGCAAACUCCUCGCAGUGCAAGACCAAAUAGGGAGGCGUCAGACAGGGCUGCCCGCCCGAAGCGCGCUGGUUUCGACUAGCGCCUACGACCUCCGGGUAGGUCGCUCGAUCCAUCCGGCGACGGAUGGGCUAGAUGAAUGAUCGCUGCUUCAUUCUGUCAAGAAUGGAGUACAGAAUUCGGCUUACAGACCUGCUCUCAAC
rnacentral:RNase_P_RNA from 1 species